rnacentral:rRNA from 1 species
AUGGCUCAGGAUGAACGCUGGCGGCGUGCCUAACACAUGCAAGUCGAACGGAGUUAUUCGCUGCGGAGGUUCGACCGAAGCUUGAAUAAACUUAGUGGCGGACGGGUGAGUAACGCGUGGGCAACCUGCCUCGUACUGGGGGAUAACAGUUGGAAACGACUGUUAAUACCGCAUAAGCGCACGGUAUCGCAUGAUACAGUGUGAAAAACUCCGGUGGUACGAGGUGGGCCCGCGUCAGAUUAGCCAGUUGGCGGGGUAACGGCCCACCAAAGCGACGAUCUGUAGCCGGACUGAGAGGUCGGACGGCCACAUUGGGACUGAGACACGGCCCAAACUCCUACGGGAGGCAGCAGUGGGGGAUAUUGCACAAUGGGCGAAAGCCUGAUGCAGCGACGCCCGCGUGAGUGAAGAAGUAUUUCGGUAUGUAAAGCUCUAUCAGCAGGGAAGAAAGGCCCUUCGGGGAGAUGACGGUACCUGACUAAGAAGCCCCGGCUAACUACGUGCCAGCCGCGGC